UAGCAAGUGGUGGAGGCCAGCAGGUGGAUGAAGGAAAAAGGAGGCAAGAGGAGAGACCCGAAGCGGCCGCCGGUCCGCGUGUCAGGUGAACUGAACUUCAGAGGUACAAAGGAGGAAAAAUUAAGGGAACCAGAGCACGGCUGAAAUGCUACAACCUUCAAAGUCAUUGCUGAACUACAGCGAGGGACACUGUGAGCUGCAUCCCACUGGAAGCAGCUCACAUGGCAAUAUGUGCUGUGGAGACGCUCGAGACCACACGGGAUGUACUGAGGAUUUUCAAGGACUAUUUUCCUGCACAGCUGUGUUGCAUGGUGACUGAGUGAGUGACUGCCUGGUUGGAGAUGCCAGCAGAUUUAAGCGGAAAGGACACUCUCUCCGUCUCUGAUCCACACGCCACAGAGCACUCGCACAAUGGAGUUAGUCACUGAAGUCUAUCUGCCAUAAACUAAAUCCCUCUCACUCUCUGCAACUCCCUCCAUCCCCCCUCAACUGUCCUGUCCCCAUCUCUCUCUCUUUGCUUUCAGUCUCUGCCACGCACAUAUGCAGAAUCUGCGUGCACACACACACACAACACACACACAAACAAUAAAAUGCUCUUUAACUUUUGCUGAAUACCCAAGCGUAAUAACCACUCUCUCCUCCUCACCCCCCCCUACCCCCAAUGCUGAUGCAUUGGGUGGGAUUAUGUGCGAAGGCUGUGUGCCGUGCCGUCCCCCUACCGC
ensembl:lncRNA